rnacentral:lncRNA from 10 species
CAGAGAUAGAAACCAAGGCCACAUCGAAUGCUCAGGGCGUAUGUGAUGCGAGCUUCAGGGAUAAGAAGACACCUUUGCAGUGGUCAGCAGGAGCCCGCUGAGACCUGUGCUGAUUUCCUGAGGUGUCUUCUGUGAGACUCAGGAGUGAAGUCAGAGUACUUAACUCCCCUCCCAUCUGCUUAUGUCUCAGGAGAAAAUAAACUUCUGAGAGGGAAGCCCCUGGCACCUGAUGAAAUAACCUUCAGGAAAAGACACCCCAGAAGCCCAGGUCUGCUCUGCAGGACAGGGUGCCAGGGAGGCCCCUCAGCCCUCAGAGCCUUGCAGCCUUGGACAGGGCUGAGGCGGCGUCCAGGACAGGGGAGAUGAAACCAGACCCCAGGGCUGACCUGGAGGAGUGCACACAUUUUCACAGAACAGAUUCCGAGGCCCAGAGAGGUCAAGUUGCUUGCCCAAGGCCACACAGCUAGAUCCAAUCCUCUGCUGGUGUCUAAGCACAUUCAUCAGGAGAGGGGAGAAGAGUGGCUUGAGAUAAAACCAUCCUUGUGUUGAAACACGAGAGAGUUAAAGGUGCAAACCUGGGUCCACCAACAAUGUCCUCUGGAGGCCGGAAAGAGGGGACCCACCUCCUCAAAUAUGUACCCCUGCCUCUGCUCCAGAGCCCUUAUUUGGACUUCUAAAGAGAGCCACUGUGCUCUCAGGGAAGAGAUCCAAGGAUUCCUGCAGAAUGUCAUGGAGAUUCCUAUCUUGAUCAUUUGCAAAGUAGCUGAUACAUUUUAAAAAUGUGUGUGUGUCUCUACUAACAAAUCAUACUUUGUGAUAAGAAGAAAAAGAAGGCUUAAAAAGACAAGAUAAGAUAAAAUAAGGAUUAAAGAAAAAAAGACCAGUCCCAUCAGAUAGCAGCUUGGCCACAGGCUUGUUGUGUCUUUGGCUGUGUCUUGUUUUUUAACAUGGUUAACAGUGCAGGCUGGAAUCCAUCCUCGAAGUAUCAGCCUUGCCACCAGCUUCACUGCUCUGGCUGCCACCUACUUGCUCCAGGGCUCUGAAGGCGCUCACAGCAUUGAUCCAAGCCAAGACAGGGCCUUUGUUGUCGGUCGCUCCUCGUCCAUAAAGUUUCCCUUUAAAAAGGGGAGAAGAAUGUUCAGAGAAGUGUGGACACCUCUGCCAUGCGAAUUACAUUUGAUACUGUUCAAAACGAAAGUGUGUGGCCUAGACAACUGUUUUCCUCACAACUCAAGAACCUCCAUCCAGGGACACAAAAGUUUACCGUUUUUUUCACAAAUGAAAGAAAACCAGCCUCAGUGAACCGAUCGGUAGACUUUGAGAGCCGCCUCUCUGUGCAUUCUUUUUUUUUUUUUUUUGAUGAAGUCUCACUCCGUCACCCAAGCAGAAUGGAGUGCAGUGGUGUGAUCUCAGCUCACUGCAACCUCCGCCUCCCAGGUUCAAGCAAUUCUGCCUUGGUCUCCCAAGUAGCUGGGAUUACAGGCGCCCACGACCAUGCCCAGCUAUUUUUUUGUAUUUUUAGUAGAGAGAGGGUUUUGCCAUGUUGGCCAGGCUGGUCUUGAACUCCUGAUCUCAAAUGAUCCACCCACCUUGGCUUCCCAAAGUGCUGGGAUUACAAGCGUGAGCCACCGCACCCGGCCUAUGCAUUCUUAAUGACAGGGAGAGACCCAAAACCCAGGGACAGAGCCUCAUCUUCACCCCUUCAAUCUUGCAAGCACAGCAGCACCGCACUGUAGCCCGGGCGCCUCACUGACCGUCUACCUCCGUCAGCACAUAGGGGUCCGUGAGCCACCCAUCGCCCCGGUCAGCAGGCUGCACGUCCAAGUGGCCGUAGAAGCACACGGUGCCUUUCGUGGGAUCGCUCCCCAGUUCGGCCAGGAUGACGGGAGGUAUUGGAAGACUCUGACCAUCGGGCAGCUGCAGAAUGAUCAGGAAUCACAUUUUCAAAAAUGCUGUGUUGUUCUUCCAGAAAAUUCAAAGACAUGACAUUGGGAGUCUUGUUUGACAUUGGGAGAAACUGAGCAUCAGUUUCUCCAUCUCUAAAAUGAGUCCCAUGAAACACUUUUUUUUUCUUUUUUCUUUUCUUUUGGAGACAGGUCUCACUCCUGUCGCCCAGGCUGGAGCGCAGUGGCACACUCCCAGGCUCAAGUGAUUCUCCCAUCUCAGCCUCCUCAUAAGUAGCUGAGACUACAGACGUGCACCACCAUGUCCGGCUACCUUUUUGUAUUUUUGGUAGAGAUAGGUUUGCCAUGUUGCCCAGGCUGACCAGCUGGGCAGGCUCAACUAAUCCGCCCGCCUUAGCCUCCUAAAGUGCUAGGAUUUCAAGUGUGAGAUGCCACACCCAGCCAAGACACUUUUAAUUAAGAUAUAAAACCUAAUCAAAAGUAAAGUGCUUCUUUAGAUCCACACUGACAAUUAGCAUCAUUAGCUGAAUGUCCUCUUCAGCAAGAAUGCAGACGGGCCGGGCACGGUGGCUCAUGCCUGUAAUCCCAGCACUUUGGGAAGCCAAGGCGGGUGGAUCACGAGGUCAGGAGUUGAAGACCAGCCUGGCCAAUAUGGUGAAACCCUGUGUCUAAUAAAAAUACAAAGAUUAGCUGGGUGUGGUGGUGCACGCCUGAAAUCCCAGCUACUCGGGAGGCUGAGGCAGGAGAAUUGCUUGAACUGGGACCUGGGAGGCGGAGGUUGCAGUGAGCUGAGAUUGCACCACUGCACUCCAGCCUGGGCUACAGAGCAAGACUCUGUCUCAAAAAAAAAAAAAAAAAGAAUGCAGAUGACAACUGGCUUAAAUUAGGUGGACAAAUCCUAGAAAACAUGGAUGAUCCUGAGGUUCCUCAGUGCUAAAGUAAGCGCAGCGGGUGCUUAGAUUUAAGACAUUCAUGAUGGAGUAGAGUUCUAAGAGAUGGUUCUGAUGAAAAAAAUGCAGCUCCAGAUACAACCCCUUUGAGAAAGAUGCAUAUGAAUUUAAAGAAAAGGACAAUUUCCUUUUCCUUAAAGGAGAAAUUUGAACUUUGUGUCCAGGAAAUGAAAAGUACAAGGGGGUCCUUUCCAUGAUAAGGUGACCUUCACUUGUCAUCUGCACUGGCUUCUAAGAGCCAACCCCUCCCCAGAGUCCUGACAAGACUGGAAAGCAAUAACACGGCUUCAUUUGAGACCAGGGGAAUGUUUCAUCUUCAUUGGGAAUUGGGGUUAUGGGGGGUUGUGGUUGAGGAUCAGGGUGAGCCUCUCCCUUGCCACCCCCGGGAAGGCAUGACUGACGUCUAGAAGUAGCACCUCCCUCAGUGGGAGGGAAUCGUACAGCACCUGCUGAGGACCCAUGUCCACCGAGGCCACACGGGCCCCCAGGCGCUGCAGCGUGUCCGCAGCCACGGCCAUCAUUCUGAAGAGCUCUUGUCUGAAGCGAGGCACAGGCUGGACAGAGUCGCUCUCGAUGGCCACCCACUCCUUCAGCGUCUAGGAGGAAGAGCAAGCAGGCCAUUAGCAUUGGGGUCCCACAUCUGCUCUGCGGGGGGAGCGAAGGGAGGGCAGGAGACAGCGAGUCCCCAGGUACUUUUCUGUUGAUCAAGGACCUGAGGACCUAUGACAGUGCCAGUGAACACUGUGACAUUUAAGAGUAACAGACAGAAGAGCUGGGGAUUUAAUCAGGAACCCAGAAGCCAGAGGCGCCUGGUUAGUAUAGAAGGUCAGGCAGGACGGGCUGGGAGAAAGGUGAUGGUCUGGGUCCUCACUGCGUUCACCAGGGCUGUACAGGAGGGCAAGUCCCCACCCACUGUUUCUAAUUAUUAAGAACUGAGGAGCUGGUGGGUUCUCAGCUUUCUCCAGGACUCCUGGCUUCCCACACCUGGUCCUGGAAGCCUCCAAGCCGUGACUGAACCCCACAGGGGCCUCUGCUGGGCUGCAGGUCCCUCCUAACAUGCUCUGCAUUUAGAUUCCCUGGCCUGCCCCUCCCUGUGCCUCUAGGAUCCCACAGGCACUGUGACCUCGGGCUUAAACUCAGCCUGUCAUAGCUAUGUGACUUUGGAUGUAUUCCUUAACCUCCCUUAGCCUGAGUUUUCUCAUCUGCAUGAGAAAGUAAUGCUCCCAGCCGGGUGCGGUGGCUCACACCUGUAAUCCCAGCACUUUGGGAGGCACAGGUGGGCAGAUCACGAGGUCAGCAGAUCCAGACCAUCCUGGCUAACGUGGUGAAACCCCAUCUCUACUAAAAACACAAAAAAUUAGCCAGGUGUGGUGGUGGGCGCCUGUAGUCCCAGCUACUUGGGAGGCUGAGGCAGGAGAAUGGCGUGAACCUGGGAGGCGGAGCUUGCAGUGUGCCAAGAUCGUGCCACUGCACUCCAGUCUGGGUGACAGAGCAAGACUCCAUCUCAAAAAAAAAAAAAAAAAAAAGAAAAAGAAAGUAAUGCUCCCUAACUAUAGGGUGAUGGUGAGGACCACUGAGGUAACGUGUGCACAGUGCCCAGCACCUGGCAGCCACUCCAGCAGCGCUGGCUGGUAUGAAUGACUGAUAAGAACCACUCACAUGCCUGUGUUGGAACCUGAGUGGCUCAUACUGAGACAAUCAGCAUUUUUAUGAAAAACUACACAGAUUUACUGAUCUUGGACUUCUCUUCCUGACUUAUUUGAGUUUGAUCUCUCUAUUCUGGUUGUAGAGCUUUUAUUUUUAUUAUGAAGGCAUUUAUCUAACCCUUAGGAAUAUUGUGUUUGACAUUUUUAAACUGGAAUUUACAGAGCAGAGACUGCUGGCUUCUCCAUAAGUUCAGUGGAUUUGGGUAUGUUUGAGGGACUUAGGAAGAGAUGUUUUGGCUGAAAGGCCUAAACCAGGAUUAAAUCCCCACCACACACUGAUUCUGGAAACCCCACUCAGGUUUCAAAAAUCCAAGAGGCAUUGAUGCCUAGUUAAUAUUUCAGUAAGAAGAAGGAUUGCAUGAAGGUCAGAUUUAGGAACAGUAGGCUGGGCAUUCAGCCUCGUGCCUUUAGCCUAAUUGCAUAAUAUUCCCAAAAUUGGUUGAUUGAUCCAAUAAAUGUAUACUGAAUGCCUGUCCUGUGCCAGACAUGAUGUGGGGGGCUUGGGGUACAAAGUCCAGGGAGACCUCAAGGAGCUCCCCGUCUGGUGAACACAGACAACAACACAUCAGUGUGCACAUGUGUGGGGGUGUGUGGGGAUACAUAUAUGGGGGUGUGUAGGGAUGGGACCGGAUGGCCACAGAGGGGACAAGAGAGCCUAGGAGAGUGGGGGUGGGGAGGAGCUGGUGAGUCUGUGGGCUCCGGCAAGCUCCUGCUCUCCCAUGCCUCCUCCUGUCUCCUCCUGCUCCCCAGGCCUCCCUCUUUUUGCCAUUCCUCCUCAUCCUCCCUCUACUUUACCCCCACUCCCAACCUGUAUAUGUAUAGACCCUGUAUAGUGAAUUAGGGGUAAAGCAGAGGAUUAUAAACUUGGGAGGCUGAGGCAGAAGGAUCACUUGAACCCAGGAGGUCGAGGCCGCAGUGAGCUGUGUUUGUGCCACUGCACUCCAGCCUGGGUGACAGAGCAAGACCCUGUCUCAAAAAAUAACAGAAAAAAAGAGGGCCAGGCAUGGUGGCUCACACCUGCAAUCCCAGCACUUUGGGAGGCCGAGGCAGGAAGAUCACUUGAGGUCAGGAGUUCAAAAUCAGCCUGCCCAUCAUGGGGAAAUCCCGUCUCUACUGAAAAAAUACAAAAAUUAGCCAGGUGUGUUGGCAGGUGCCUGUAAUCCCAGCUACUUGGGAGGCUGAGGCUGAGGCAGGAGAAUCACCUGAACCUGGGAAGUUGAGGUUAGCCGAGGUCUCACCACUGCACUCAAGCCUGGGUGACAGAGCGAGACUCUGUCUCAAAACAAAUAAAUAAAUUGAAUGAAUGAAUGAAUGAAGGAGAUAAAGUGCCUGUUGCACACAUGCUACAAAACAAACAACGCUGCUGUUGAACUUUGCAGAGCUCCCUGGCUCCCCAGCUCUGCCCAGGCCUUACAAUAACGUCAGGUGGCAUUAGGAAUGGGCGACCUGAUGGACCAGGGCAGACUUGAGCUCAGCGGAGGUGCUGGUCAUCUCUGUGUGGACAUCCCUGGACCAAGUGUGCUGGAUAUGAAGACCCAGUGCCCUUUACAGGAGGAAUGGCUAGGAGGGAUCUCGUCCAUCUGUCUAAUGAAUACUGAAGAUUUUUAACCCAAUGAGCAGUCAUAGGCAUUUUAAAUGGAAUUAGGCAAAAAAAUCCACAUCUCCAAGCAAAUAAUUGUCUCACCCAAAUACCAAAGGAUAUAAUCCAAGCAUUCUGUGUGUAGUUGUGUAGUUUCUUUCUCCUACCUGCACAAAUUCAUCCUGAUGGAGGUCAAUGUACUGGAAGACUUUCUCUAACAGCGCCGGGGGCGGGGAGGGUGAGGAGAACAUGCCGCGCUCCAGCAGCAGCAGCAGCACAGCCAGCAGGGACGCAGCCUGGAAGGGUUUGACAUGGGAGGAACGAAUGAAAAUCAAUGCCAGUUGCUGGACUUCGGACCUUCCAAAUUCCUCAAGAAGGUCUGUUACCUCACACAGCUGCCUCCAGUCAGUCGGAAUAAAAUAACACAAGGCGGUAGAACCAAACAUGUAUUUUUUGCUACGUCCUUCCCCAAACACUUUAUUUCCAAUGCUAAAGAAUUUUAAUAAGACAAAAACCAAGUUAACAAGCUCAUCUUUAAAUAACAUCAUUCCGUUUAUUCCUAGGAUAAGGUGUUUCCUCCUGGCCCCUUGGGGAGGCCCAGUUCUGCUGCCCAGGAGUGAAGGGUGAUCUUUACAAGAGAGAAAAGAGUAAGGUAGAACCAAAAACAAACACGCAAAAAUCUUCCAUGUGUGAUGAACUGCUCUAUUAGACAAAAGAAUUUCUGAGCAAUGCCUAAAAUCCAGUGUUGUGGGGUUUCUUUCCACUGGCUCCUGAAAUCACAGUACUUUAACAGGAAAGGAAGAAAAACGUCUGAGGUGGUGGUUCAUGCCUGUAAUCCCAGUACUUUGGGAGGUCGAGGUGGGCGGAUCACUUGAGGUCAGGAGUUGAAGACCAGCCUGGCCAACAUGGUGCAACCCCAUCUCUGAGAGACCCAACCACAACCCUGUCUCCUCCCUCCUCUCCCCUCCCUGACCCCUUCUCAGUCUCCCCAGCCCGUCCACCUCUGGGAUGACUCCACCUGGGUGUCCUUGGGAGCCUAAGAGCCAG